GAUGAACGCUGGCGGCGUGCCUAACACAUGCAAGUCGAGCGAUCUUCUUCGGAAGAGAGCGGCGGACGGGUGAGUAACGCGUGGGUAACCUGCCCUGUACACACGGAUAACAUACCGAAAGGUAUGCUAAUACGGGAUGAUAUAUGAAAGUCGCAUGGCUUUUAUAUCAAAGCUCCGGCUGUACAGGAUGGACCCGCGUCUGAUUAGCUAGUUGGUAAGGUAACGGCUUACCAAGGCGACGAUCAGUAGCCGACCUGAGAGGGUGAUCGGCCACACUGGAACUGAGACACGGUCCAGACUCCUACGGGAGGCAGCAGUGGGGAAUAUUGCACAAUGGGCGAAAGCCUGAUGCAGCAACGCCGCGUGAGCGAUGAAGGCCUUCGGGUCGUAAAGCUCUGUCCUCAAGGAAGAUAAUGACGGUACUUGAGGAGGAAGCCCCGGCUAACUACGUGCCAGCAGCCGCGGUAAUACGUAGGGGGCUAGCGUUAUCCGGAAUUACUGGGCGUAAAGGGUGCGUAGGCGGUCUUUCAAGCCAGAAGUGAAAGGCUACGGCUCAACCGUAGUAAGCUUUUGGAACUGUAGGACUUGAGUGCAGGAGAGGAGAGUAGAAUUCCUAGUGUAGCGGUGAAAUGCGUAGAUAUUAGGAGGAAUACCAGUAGCGAAGGCGGCUCUCUGGACUGUAACUGACGCUGAGGCACGAAAGCGUGGGGAGCAAACAGG
rnacentral:rRNA from 1 species